UACACUUUGUUCUAACCUACACAUAUGACUAAGCAUAUAUUGCCAUUAGAAUUUUUACUAUCUUUACUUUAUGUUCUUGUUGAAGUCAAUACUAAGCAUAUCUUUUCUAAGUCUCUACAAAUCUUUACUAUAUCAUCUACAUUAUUCUGUAAAUAUGCUAAAGGAAUAUUAAUUGGGCAAAUCUUAAAGACUUCUUUGGAGUUGUUGUGUUGACUUGCACUGGCCCUCUUAAAUUACAAAUUCCACUUUUUGUCCAAUUUUUCUACACUUUAUUGCUAAAUUGCCCAAAUUCAUUCCCUUCAAAAAAUUAUAUCUGCUUG
rnacentral:lncRNA from 1 species